GCGGCAGGCUUAACACAUGCAAGUCGAGGGGUAACAGGAAAUAGCUUGCUAUUUUGCUGACGACCGGCGCACGGGUGCGUAACGCGUAUAGAACCUACCUUUUACAGGGGAAUAGCCCAGAGAAAUUUGGAUUAAUGCCCCAUAGUAUUAUUGAAUGGCAUCAUUUAAUAAUUAAACAUUUAUGGGUAAAAGAUGGCUAUGCGUUCUAUUAGCUAGAUGGUAAGGUAACGGCUUACCAUGGCAACGAUAGAUAGGGGUCCUGAGAGGGAGAUCCCCCACACUGGUACUGAGACACGGACCAGACUCCUACGGGAGGCAGCAGUGAGGAAUAUUGGACAAUGGAGGCAACUCUGAUCCAGCCAUGCCGCGUGCAGGAAGACGGCCCUAUGGGUUGUAAACUGCUUUUAUAUAGGAAGAAACCUUUCCACGUGUGGAGAGCUGACGGUACUAUAAGAAUAAGCACCGGCUAACUCCGUGCCAGCAGCCGCGGUAAUAC
rnacentral:rRNA from 1 species